UCGAGAAUCUUCGGCAAUGGGCGCAAGCCUGACCGAGCGAUGCCGCGUGCGGGAUGAAGGCCUUCGGGUUGUAAACCGCUGUCAGAGGGGAUGAAACCUUCGGGUUGACAAAGCCUCAGAGGAAGCACGGGCUAAGUACGUGCCAGCAGCCGCGGUAACACGUACUGUGCGAACGUUAUUCGGAAUCACUGGGCUUAAAGGGUGCGUAGGCGGCUCAUCAAGUCAGGUGUGAAAUCCCACGGCUCAACCGUGGAACAGCGCUUGAAACUGGUGGGCUUGAGUAAGACAGGGGUGUCUGGAACUUCUGGUGGAGCGGUGAAAUGUGUUGAUAUCAGAAGGAACACCGGUGGCGAAAGCGGGACACUGGGUCUUAACUGACGCUGAGGCACGAAAGCCAGGGUAGCGAACGGGAUUAGAUACCCCCGUAGUCC
rnacentral:rRNA from 1 species